UACGAAGGGGGCUAGCGUUGUUCGGAUUUACUGGGCGUAAAGCGCACGUAGGCGGAUCGUUAAGUCGGGGGUGAAAUCCUGGAGCUCAACUCCAGAACUGCCUUCGAUACUGGCGAUCUUCGAGUCCGGGAGAGGUGAGUGGAACUGCGAGUGUAGAGGUGAAAUUCGUAGAUAUUCGCAAGAACACCAGUGGCGAAGGCGGCUCACUGGCCCGGUACUGACGCUGAGGUGCGAAAGCGUGGGGAGCAAACAGG
rnacentral:rRNA from 1 species